UUGCCAGCCCGCUCAAGAAACUUAAAGGAAGUUGACGGGGGCCCGCACAAGCGGUGGAGCAUGUGGUUUAAUUCGAUGAUACGCGAGGAACCUUACCUGGGCUCAAAUGUAUGUUGACGUAUUCUGAAAGGGAUACUUCUUCGGACAAUAUACAAGGUGCUGCAUGGUUGUCGUCAGCUCGUGCCGUGAGGUGUCGGGUUAAGUCCCAUAACGAGCGCAACCCCUAUCAUUAGUUGCCAUCAGGUCAAGCUGGGGACUCUAAUGAAACUGCCUACGCAAGUAGUGAGGAAGGUGGGGAUGACGUCAAAUCAGCACGGCCCUUACGUCCAGGGCUACACACGUGCUACAAUGGCCGGCACAACGGGAAGCGAGUUCGCGAGGACGAGCGGAUCCCUCAAAGCCGGUCGCAGUUCGGAUUGAAGUCUGCAACUCGACUUCAUGAAGCUGGAAUCGCUAGUAAUCGUGGAUCAGCCAAGCCGCGGUGAAUACGUUCCCGGGCCUU
rnacentral:rRNA from 1 species